rnacentral:lncRNA from 1 species
AGGAGCGUCACAAAAAACAGGCCCAAGCCCAGCGGACAACCGCCCAGCGGCGCACUUAUGACGCCCGACGGUUUGCCUCUAAUCGUGCCACCGCCCGGCGGUAGGGGGCCACUGCCCGGCAGUUUGCCUCUUAUCGCCAUGAAAUUGAAACCCAUAAAAGCGAAAAAAAUCAAGACGAAUAUACUUUACCGCCAUGAUUUUCCUUUCCUGCCAGGAGUUAAUGAAAUCUGCAUGUUUCUCUUGAUCUGAGAUCCAUCCAUCUAUGUUGGCAAGUCGUGGUUGAGAGGAGGAAGAAGCUCCAGCUGUUUUGCGACGAUACCUUCUUGGUUCAGCCAUGGAUGAAGAUGGAGAAGAUGAAGGUUUAUGAAGUGAUAGAGAAAUGAAGAGAUUUUGAGCUCUGGAUUUGAUUUUAGCAGUAUUGGGUUGCAAAGAAGUGUCUAAUAAUCGAUUAUGGGGGGCUAUUUAUAAGAAAAAUGGAAAAACUAGCCGUUUAUAGCCGUUAUGAGACGCUCCAACGGCUCUAUUUUUGAAACUGUUAGCGUGAUAAUCGAUUAUGGCUUGUGAUAAUCGAUUAUCAGUUCAUUAAUCUCUGCCCAGAAUUGCAUGAUAAUCGAUUAUGCCUGAUGAUAAUCGAUUAUCUGCUCAAAGUUUUCCAGAAUUG